GAACGCUGGCGGCGUGCUUAACACAUGCAAGUCGAACGAGAUCCAUGGUGUAGCAAUACAUCGGAAGAUCUAGUGGCGAACGGGUGAGGAUCACGUGAGAAACCUGCCCCAGACUUUGGGAUAACAAGUGGAAACGCUUGCUAAUACCGAAUGACGUCGGAGAACCGCAUGGUUCACUGACGAAAGGAAUUCCGGUUUGGGAGGGUCUCGCGGCCUAUCAGCUUGUUGGUGGGGUAAUGGCCUACCGAGAAAACGACGGGUAGCUGGUCUGAGAGGAUGAUCAGCCACACUUUCUCUGAGACACGGGACGGACUCCUACUGGAUCAGUCAGUGGG
rnacentral:rRNA from 1 species